rnacentral:rRNA from 1 species
UACAGGGGGGGCAAGCGUUGUUCGGAAUUACUGGGCGUAAAGGGCCAGUAGGCGGCCAACUAAGUCGGAUGUGAAAUCCCCAGGCUCAACCUGGGAACUGCAUCCGAUACUGGAUGGCUUGAAUUCGGGAGAGGGAUGCAGAAUUCCAGGUGUAGCGGUGAAAUGCGUAGAUAUCUGGAGGAAUACCGGUGGCGAAGGCGGCAUCCUGGACCGACAUUGACGCUGAGGAGCGAAAGCCAGGGGAGCAAACGGG